rnacentral:tRNA from 1 species
GGCCUUGAGGUGUUUUACAUGUAGAAUUGCAAAUUCUAAGUGGCAGGCUAAACCCUGCCGAGGCCU